UUUCUGUUGGGAGCUGCUGCGCUACGGCAGCACGGAGGUGUUGUAGUACUUGUGACGAUGUCAGAAAAGCCUACAGGUGGCAAGGUUUGGCCCCCAAGAACCCAGAGGGCAGAGAGCAGUGCAAGAGGGAAGGGUUCAGCCAGAAAAUGCAAGACUAGAAGAAUGAGGGCUGCCGAGUGUCUGGUUUCCUAGAGGUCAACAAGAUUUCCUCUAGGAGGAGCUGUUGAUUUAGGCUGGGAUUUGAGCCUGAAAAAUGUCCUGAAAGCUAAAAGGAGAGCCAUCGCAGGCCAUUCAUUCUGCUAUGGUAGGCAGGGUCACCAGGUGGAAAUUUUAGGUCCUUUGGCAUCUUCUCACUGGCAACCAAGAGGAAGUAACACUAAUUCUUUUUUUUUCUGCAGGUACUGCAGCCUCUUUUCUCUGUUCUUUUCCUGGAGCCCUCUUGGUUGUGGGGCUGCUACUGUUGCUCAGGCCUCCUACAGAUAACACUUCCUCAUCUGAGCUCUGCUGUCUAUCAACAUUCUUGAAAAAAAAUAGUGUGGGACUCAGUCUUCAUCAGUGAAGGACACCACUUCAGUGUGGAGGA